rnacentral:rRNA from 1 species
AUGCCUUUUGGUCUAUGCAAUGCACCUGCUACCUUUCAAAGAUGUAUGACUGCUAUAUUAUCUGAUUUUUGUGAAAAUAUUGUUGAGGUUUUCAUGGAUGACUUUUCCGUUUAUGGGAAAUCUUUUGAUGAAUGUUUAAGCGAUCUUGAUCGAGUUUUGCAGAGAUGUGAACAAACAAAUCUUGUCUUGAAUUGGGAGAGGUGCCACUUUAUGGUUAACGAAGGUAUUGUUUUGGGCCAUAAAAUUUCUGAAAGAGGCAUUGAGGUGGACAAAGCCAAGGUUGAUGCAAUUGAGAAAAUGCCAUGUCCUAAAGAUAUCAAAGAUAUUCGUAGUUUUUUCCUUGGUCAUGCUGAUUUCUAUAGGAGAUUUAUCAAAGACUUCUCUAAAAUUUCUAGGCCUCUUACAAAUCUUUUGCAAAAGGAUAUCCGUUUUGUUUUUGAUGAUGAUUGUUUGGAAGCCUUCAAAACACUGAAGAAAGCCCUAAUCUCUGCACCUGUUGUUCAACCACCUGAUUGGAACUUACCUUUUGAGAUUAUGUGUGAUGCUAGUGAUUAUGUUGUUGGUGAUGUUCUAGGACAAAGAGUUCAUAAAAAAAUAAAUGUUAUCCAUUAG